GAAAGCCCCACUUCCAGUCUGAUGAGGAAAGCGACAAUCUAUCAGGUACAGAACCAGGGGCUGUCUGCGAAGAUGGAGGGGAAUUAUGCUUCGGAUUCCUCUGAAAUAUUGGCCAAAGGCUUCAAAGAAUCCGCAGCGGGAGGUGCGGGGGGAAUGUCUCUCCCCAGCCCGCACCCAGCCCUUCCCACUUCGUGUCUACCAAAUGACAGCCUGGUGCUCGCUCUUGGUGAUUUGGCCUUGACUUCAGCCAAGCAGCUGAUGCAGACGAAGCCUCCGUUUGCAGGACUGGCAAAGUGCACGCUAAAGAAAGAAGGAAGAAAUUUUUCAAAAAGCAGCUCUGGGGAGGUUUCAUACUCCCCCCCCCCCCCCGCCUUUUUUUAAUUUUUAAGUGAAUAUUUUCCAAAUUUGAUCAGUUCCAGCCCCUCCCUCCACUCCCACCCAACUGCCCUUUUUUCUCUCGUCAAAGCAUAAGCUACAGAGUUACAGUCUCGAGAUUUGGUGUAUCGCUUCCUGCCCCCGCCUCCCCUCCCCGCCCCCGUUCUCCGUCCUCUAUUGAAACACCUCGCCCAGCCUAGCGCACUGAGAGCUCUCAUUUUCCCCCCUUGCUCGGGAUGGUGCCACAGGAGGCUGUGCGGGCCCCGCUCCGCUUCGAAUGGUUGUGUUGAUGUUCCUUUCAGCUGGUCCUAUAGUACCCCUCCUCAGGAAUGUCUCCCCAGUGCAAGGACAAAGACUGAAGAGACUGCUAUAUUGAUGGACUCUCAAGCCAACUAUGAAGUUGAAACAAAGAAAGUGAUCACCUGAAGACACCUCCUCUGCUAAGAAACACCCCCAAAUUGUGCAGCUUCUGCCACUAGAACUCUCAGAACAAGAGACAAUCUUUUCAAGAAACAGAAAAACUCAAUAAUGACAUCUAGAUUUUCAUGAGCCAAGAACUUUCCCUUCCUCAUGUGUAUUCCUCUGUUUGUACUUAAAUUCAUGUGACAUUCAUUUUUUUCCUAGUAUGGAUAUGCUUAUUAAUGCACUUGUUUCAAAAUCCCAAAUUGCACAAAUGUGUUAAUAUUUUAAGAAACAAAAUGAAUCCUACAAGGAGAAUGAUUUUUAGCCACACAUAGGGUUGGAUCUUGAGAGUGACCUACAGAAUAAAAGUACUUUUAAAAUAAAGUAGUCAGAGGCUAUUCAAAGGGUAAAAUAAUCAUAGUACCACAUUGGUCCACUUGACACUAACCAAUCGAUCAUUUUUUUUUAAUCAAGAAAGCUAGAUUCUAUCAGAUAAAAUCACUGCUUCUAAAGAGUUUAAAUCUAGUUAGAAAAAGUUAUAGAAAUGUUUGCAAAGAUAAGUAACAGAUAGAGUCAGUAGAGGAUAAGAUCAAAAACAAAACCAAGCAAAAGAUGAGUUCAGGGGAGUUUGCCAUCAAGUUGGCAAAACUGACUUACUUAGGGAAGAAAGUUAUAAAACAGGAAAAUAUGAGAUGAACCUUGAGUGAUGUGGAAGAUUUAGAUAAAUGGAAAGGAAGGAGAAAAUGGAGUUCUUUAGGUGGUUGUAAUUGGAGGAGGAAAUGAAUACACACAUCUUGUUGACUUAAACCCAGACAUUCAGCAGCUCUCUAUACAUAUCUGGAAAAGACUGCACAGUCACCUCCUGUCUCUCACCCCAGGUAUUACUUAGAAUUAUUAUCAUAUUUCCCUUCCUUUAAAGUAAGUAAGGGUGAUUGGUGACAAUAUGGAGAACUAUGAUUUUUCCAUUAACCUAAUAAUAAUUGGUAUUUAUUGAGUUCUGUUAAGCAUUUUACAUAUUAACUCACUUAAGCCUUUCAACAGCCUUGCAAAAUAGGUAUUAUUAUCCCCAUUUUACAGGCAAGAAAACUGAGGUUUAAGUAACUUGCCGAAGUGCCAUAUACAGGGCUCACAUUCAGUAUUGCAGUUGCAAAGCUCAUGAUCUAUAGUGCCAAGUUGCAAUAUUGUAGUCAAUGUCACAAUUAUUACCCCUUUUUAUAUUCCUUGAUAUUUUUCCAUGGCAAACAAUUAGCUAUUUCAUUUAAUAAUCACCUAAAACUUUUCAGUCUUCUGAUUAAAAUUACGCUGGAGUGAUAGAAUGUAUUUUCAUGAUAGAAAUUGGGAAAAAAAAUGGGGAAUGAAGUUUAUCAGCAUUUCAGACUUGUUUUUUUUUUUUUUUUUUGCAAGACUUUGAUGAGAUUGUUCACUUUUGUCUAUGUAAAAUCCCAAAUCCUUGAGAAUAAAAAAGGGGGAGGUUUAAGUCACUUGUUGCAAUGCCCUUUUUAAUAGAGGCAAUAAAUCUAAAGGCCAUAAAUUUAGAGUGACUUACAGAAGAUCGAACUUUGGAGUGUGGCAGAGUAAGGGAUGGAAACCGGGCCCUCCAGUUCACUAUCAGUAGCUUUUGCACUGGUCUGCCCUUCCUAAAUUAAGUAUGCACUUCAAUUUGAUGAGUGGAAACAGUCUAUCUGGGCAGUAACCAGGGAGCUUUGUGCCUAGUAGAUUGCUUCUGUUCUGCACUUCUUUGGUUUCCCACCUCAAUGUAAAAAAUAGCUAGCAAUGAAGUCCAGAAGUUGUCAAUGGUUCAUCCCCAGAAGAAUGCAUAAUGUCCAAAGUUGUAUGUGUAUGAUGUCUUCAAUGGUAUUAAGUUAUUUCAAAUUCUUAGUUCACCUACAUAAAUCAUUUCUAACAAGCAUCUUCUUAACCAACUUUAUGCACAGUGUAUGUUUGUAAGUGCUUCUGCACGAAUGUUUAUACAUGACUGUUUCCAUAGUACUUAUGUUUUUAAAAAUAUUCAGUCAUUUCCUACUAUAAUCCUCAUGUAUCCAUGUAACUGACUCAAAAAUACUUCAGCCACAGAAAGCUAAAACUGAGCAAAUCUCAUUCUUCUUUUCCAUCCCCUUUGCAUGUGGCUGGCAUUUAGUAAUGAUUAAUAAUAUGGCCAGCUGAAUAACAGAGGUUUGAGACACAAUUCUUUCUCAAAGGAGUCAGCUAAGCUGGGUCUACUUAUGGACAAACAUCUAAAUGUGUGGAAGUAUCUGAUAUUUGACAAUGGUAAAUUUCCACUUAGCUAGCUAGCAUUGUCAGACUUCAAUCUCCUCAUGGCUCUGGCCGUCCUGUUUUAAGCAUGAUAAUUGUUGGCCACAUCUCACAUAGUUCUCAUUGAGUGAGUUCAUAAAUAAACAGGGUUUUUUUUUUUUUUUAAAGAGCAGCCAAGCACAAAGUGUGACUUUGUUGACAUUUUAUGUGACUUUGUCAUAUGUUCCUAACCCCCAAUAAAAGCAAUGUUGCAUCAA
rnacentral:lncRNA from 1 species